rnacentral:rRNA from 1 species
AUAUCAGUCAUGCAUAGCAUAUCAAUAAGCGGAGGAAAAGAAACUAACAAGGAUUCCCUUAGUAACGGCGAGUGAAGCGGGAAGAGCUCAAAUUUGAAAUCUUCAAGGUUUUACCUUGACGAAUUGUAGUUUAAAGAAGUGUCUUCUGUUGAAGUUUUGGUAAAAGUUCUUUGGAAUAGGACAUCAUAGAGGGUGAGAAUCCCGUAUUUGACCAUUACUUUCAGCUUUGUGAUACACUUUCAAAGAGUCGGAUUGUUUGGGAAUGCAGUCCAAAAUGGGUGGUAAAUUUCAUCUAAAGCUAAAUAUUGGCGAGAGACCGAUAGCGAACAAGUACCGUGAGGGAAAGAUGAAAAGAACCUUGAAAAGAGAGUUAAACAGUACGUGAAAUUGUCAAAAGGGAAGCGUUUGACACCAGUGUUGUUUUCUCGAAAAUCAAUUAAAAAGAGUUGGAUUUUGUGUUGUAUUGACUUUAUCGGCUUUCUUCACUCUUUUCCAGCUUUUUUUAAUGCACCUUUCGUUUAACAAGUCAACAUCAGUUUCUUUUGUUGUAAAAAGGUCAUUGGAAGGUGGCUUUCUCUUCGGAGAAAGUGUUUAUAGCCUUUGACUCAUGCAAUCGGAGAGACUGAGGUCUGCAGCGUAGAUCCUUCGGGGUUAGAUACAUUUGUGCUAAGUUAUAGCUUUUCAUAGACAACUUGUUGACUAUGUUUAGUCUUGUAGCUUACUCGCUUAUGCUAUUUUACCUACGCUUAGGAUGUUGAACUCUAUCACACACAG